AGAGGAGAAAACAAGCCCAGGCAGAGCAUCCUGCCCCUGGUCAUUGAUGGUAGAGCUGGUUCAGAGGAACACAUGCUGGUCCAAGUUCUGCCUUAGUAUUGCCAACUGUCUUUGGCAUCAGACUAGCUCAGCUGUGCAAGGAGAGAUCAAGGAAUGGAGCUGCUAUCCCCUUUUGGGCAGUGCACCCAUGGGGACCAUAUGGAGAUGGUAGAGAUCAUCCAGUAUGAAUAUCUCCACCUGACUGGGUGCUACUGUAACCUGGCCGUCUUCCACCUGAAGUCCAGCCCAGUGCCUACUGCCCUGCUUUCUGCUUAUGCGUUGCUCAGUGCUGCAGCCUGCCUGCCUUGGCUUUUCAAGUGUCAUCUGUUCCUGUAUUCCCCAGAUCCCAGCUCUGCCCGCCACAUCAGGAAGUCCACCCUCUUACAGCCUGAUGAGCCCCUCGGAGGCUGGAGACUGCCCUGCCUUCGAUACUGUACCCUACACCUUCAGCUGGAUCUCUUCCAGACCUGGCCUCUGUCCCGGUGGUAGUUUCAUGCCACAUCCAUCUGUUCCCACUACAUGCCCCUUCCAUGCCCCAGGAAUUCAGAGACCAAGUAAAAAAUGAGCAUUCCUAGCGACCAUAAUUAGAUUCCAAAGAUGAGAAAGGAGUUUGUAAGUAAAUGCCAACCAUCUCCAUAUAAAAAAAGAAAACUUUUUAAUCGAUUGUUGGGGGGAGCUGUUAAUGAGCUAACCACUUUUAAUUCAAUAUUUGACAGUAAUUGCAACAGAAUUACAUUUAACAAGACAAGAACCUCUAUGGGUUUUUAGCAGUCAAAUGAGGUACAGAAUGGUUCUUUUCAAGGAACUGAAAUAUAAUCAAAGGAGCCUUCAUGCCUGUUGCUGAGUCUGAGUGACAAGACUACCAACAGUAACCCCCAAAGACGGAUGAUACUGGUUGUCUGGAAUAAGAAGUACAAUACAAGUGAGCCCUGUGCUUCGCAUAGAAGAGUCUAAAUGUCGGGGCUGAUGGAGCACGUAGGUUGUUGAGGAUGGUGGGAGAUCUUGCUCAGCUAAAGCUGUCAAGGAGGCUGGGAGCCAAGGGAAAAAAGACUUAAUGAGUUCUAAUGGAGGUUCAUAUGUAACUUCUGCAGUGAUGCUGCAAGUAGAUAUAACCCCUUCCCAUUGUGUGGCAAUAGUGAGGAUAUUUUUUUCACAUUCUAUGCUGGGCCCUGGAGAGAAGGAGCAGUUCACGUUGCUGCUCUAUAUCCUUCUCUCUGAAUAGCAUUGUGAAGCAGCCCUUAAAUUAGCAGAGUUUAAUCCAACCCACUAAAUGAGGGCAGUAUUAAGAGGGGACAGGAGACAGAGGAGGGACGAUGAGAACAUCAUAAGGAUUUAAUCAGGUCACAUUGCAUUUCAUCCUUGGGAGAUCUGAGUUAGGCAGCUGGGAGUACCAAAGAAACAUGGCUCCAAAAUUGUUUUCAUUAUGCACUUUCUGGAAACCCUCUGAAGAAGCUCACCUUUCUCACCUCAAAUGGCUAUGUCAUCACCUUUAUUUCUGCUCUAACUCUGGCUUUGAUGGAUUUUCUGAGCUUCUAGCUUUGAAACCACACAGAAAGAACAGCUGUACCUGAGUACCAUAGCUGUUACUCAGAUCAUAUGUCAUCGGUCCUCAAGAACAGCUUUCACUUCAGAAUGCUGUUCACAUUUGGGGGCUUUAAAGCUAAGCAAAUAGAUUCUCUAUAUUUUCAAUGGUCUCUAAAAGAAACUUCAGGAAGAAGACUCUUAUUUUCUUUCAAUUUAACACUAUAUCUGUUAUAAAACAAAUAAAGGAAAUCAAAAUACCA
rnacentral:lncRNA from 1 species